GGCGCGACCUGGGCUACGGCAUCGGAGCCCUCGGCCUUGGGCUGGCGGCUCACCUCAGCGGCGAGAUGGAGACGGCGUUCGGGUUCGUCGCCGUGUCG
rnacentral:tRNA from 1 species